rnacentral:rRNA from 1 species
CCUANGGGUGGCAGCAGUGGGGAAUAUUGGGCAAUGGGGGAAACCCUGACCCAGCGACGCCGCGUGGGUGAUGAAGGCCUUCGGGUCGUAAAGCCCUGUCGGGAGGAACGAAUGAUCCUACGGUAAAUAGCCGUAGGAUGUGACGGUACCUCCGAAGGAAGCACCGGCCAACUCCGUGCCAGCAGCCGCGGUAAGACGGAGGGUGCAAGCGUUGCUCGGAAUCACUGGGCGUAAAGGGUGCGUAGGCGGCCUUUCAAGUCUGACGUGAAAGCCCAGGGCUCAGCCCUGGAAGUGCGCCAGAAACUGAAAGGCGUGAGUGCCGGAGGGGAGAGUGGAAUUCCCGGUGUAGCGGUGAAAUGCGUAGAUAUCGGGAGGAAUACCGGUGGCGAAAGCGACUCUCUGGACGGCAACUGACGCUGAGGCACGAAAGCGUGGGGAGCAAACAGGAUUAGAUACCCUGNUANUC